GACGAACGCUGGCGGCGUGCCUAAUACAUGCAAGUCGAACGCAGUGGGGACGGGUGAGUAACACGUGGGUCACCUCCCAUCAGAGGGGAUAACACUUGGAAACAGGUGCUAAACCGAUACUGAUGGAUGGACCCGCGGUGCAUUAGCUAGUUGGUGAGGUAACGGCUCACCAAGGCCACGAUGCAUAGCCGAGCUGAGAGGUUGAUCGGCAACACGGGGACGGAGACACGGCCCAGACUCCUACGGGAGGCAGCAGUAGGGAAUCUGCGGAAAUGGACGAAAGUCUGACCGAGCAACGCCGCGUGAGUGAAGAAGGGUUUCGGAUCGUAAAACUCUGUUGUUAGAGAAGCGGUAACUAACCAGAAAGCCACGGCUAACUACGGGCCAGCCGCCGCGGUAAUAC
rnacentral:rRNA from 1 species